CUCGAAUCAGGAGACACCACCCCCCCCAAAAGAGCGGUAUCCCGCU
rnacentral:rRNA from 1 species